rnacentral:lncRNA from 1 species
CCAGACUCCUGUUGAGUUAGUAUUUUGAAAUAUAUGAACAAAUUGCAGAUUUUGUCUGGAUUAGAUACAGAUGCUGAGUUCACACCUAAUUCGAUUCGCAUUAACUAAUUCAAAUUAAUUUAAUUCGCAUACAAAACGUUUUACGUCCUAACGUCAAUUCUAAUUCGAAUUGCAAUGUGCGUCAAAUUCCCUUUACUGUCCUAACGGCGUUAACUUUUAAUUCGUAUUAAUAAAAAUGUAUUUUUAAU